rnacentral:sRNA from 1 species
CCUCAGGGAUCUGCUGGGGACAGAUGUAGUGGCAGUGGACGUCAAUUGCGCCCGCGGUGACGAUGAGCUUCUCGCCGGAGAUAGCCUCGGUAGAUGAGCCAACGACGAGGUUUUCGUCGACGCCGUCCAUGACGUCGGGGUUGCCUGCCUUUCCUAUGCCAGCGAUAAUCCCGUCGCGCACGCCGAUGUCCGCCUUGUCGAAGAUCAGAACAAAAACAGUAGUGGUGAAACAAGUGGGCCACCUUGUAGAUACCAGACCAGUCGAUGAUCAGAGCGUUAGUAAUUACGAGGUCCAGACUCUUUUGUGAGGAACGAUCCGUAGCUUGGCCCAUGCCCUCGCGGAG